rnacentral:ncRNA from 1 species
AUAAAUGCUAUGAAGAGAAGAGUAAUUGUGAAGGAAUAUACAGAGAGUUUUCGGUUGGUGGAAAGAAAAUUAUGAAAGCACAAUGAAACAAGCCUCGGAGCUGCAUACGGAUCUUAUAAAAAUUAUUUAUAAGUGAUGCUAUGACGUAUGUUCACGUUACAGAACUAGAGUAUGAUUUGACCUAAAAUUUUAGGGAAAUGGUGUACUUGAAGAGCUUAAAAUGGUGACAUUUUAGGGAAAAAGGGUGGCACACGCGGAAUUAGAAUUUUCGCCCCUGUA